GGGGGAGAGGUACAGGAGACGUCCAAACUAGGUGGUGGCCCCGCUCCGUCGAGGCCGUCGGACAUGCUACAGGAGACCAUGGAGGAAUACAUGAGCAAGCCUGCGUUCUAACACUGGGGGAAAUGGAUCUACACACACCAGAAGGAAUCUGGACAAUUACAGAACUGGAGGUCUUCUGUACAGAACCAUGGAGUUAUGAGUUGUACAAGUCUGAAUCUGUGUCCUGAGGCAGGGUGUGUUUUUAAAUUGGGAAGUUCAGUGAAAUGUAUCUUGUUUCUGCAAAUAGGACAAUAACAUGAUGACCAAUAAAUUGGUAGAAAACACUCAUUGAUUGAGCUAUUAUCAAAUGUAUAUUGAUACUGUAUGAUCACCCAUCCCUCUGAAUCAUUGAUGUACAUUGAACUUACUUAAAACUGUGGUUAUGACAAUCAUAAUAUAUCACCAAGUAGUUUUAUAAUCAAUACUCAGAUUAUUAAUAUUUUUUUUCAAAUAUGUACGCUGUAUUGACAUUUUAAGAAGUGCCUUUUUAGAAAUAUAUAUUUGAAGUUGUGUUUUAAAUGUCUCUUGUAGCCUUUUUCUGUGUGACUUGGUGUAGGAUUACACCUUCUUGGAAAGGGAGUGGUUAUUUAUCUGAGUGAAUGUCACUGUUAUUUUUUUUAAUAUAUAACUAAUUAUGGCUCUUGAAUGUUGAAGACUUUGGAAUUAAAAUGUGUAUUUUGAUACAGAA